GACGAACGCUGGCGGCGUGCUUAACACAUGCAAGUCGAACGGAAAGGCCCUGCUUUUGUGGGGUGCUCGAGUGGCGAACGGGUGAGUAGCACGUGAGUAACCUGCCCUUGACUUUGGGAUAACUUCAGGAAACUGGGGCUAAUACCGGAUAGGAGCUCCUGCUGCAUGGCGGGGGUUGGAAAGUUUCGGCGGUUGGGGAUGGACUCGCGGCUUAUCAGCUUGUUGGUGGGGUAGUGGCUUACCAAGGCUUUGACGGGUAGCCGGCCUGAGAGGGUGACCGGCCACAUUGGGACUGAGAUACGGCCCAGACUCCUACGGGAGGCAGCAGUGGGGAAUAUUGCACAAUGGGCGGAAGCCUGAUGCAGCAACGCCGCGUGCGGGAUGACGGCCUUCGGGUUGUAAACCGCUUUCGCCUGUGACGAAGCGUGAGUGACGGUAAUGGGUAAAGAAGCACCGGCUAACUACGU
rnacentral:rRNA from 1 species